ensembl:lncRNA
ACUUUGUGCAUAAAAAUACCAGGCUGUUAAUCCUAGAAAGUACUGAUGCAUUUUGAACAUUUGCUUCAGGACUUUUACUGCAAAUGUUGCCCAAGGAAGUAAUGCACUCAAUUCUAAUGUAACACAUAGAAGUUAUCCAGAGAAAGCUCCUUGGGAAAAUCAUAGGAAGUGGGAAAAAUUGAACUUUGGAGGUUGUUACAGCUGUGUGAGAUAGUUGGCCUUUCUUUCAUUCUUUAGAGAACUCCCCAGUAGCUUAAAGAUGUUAGAACACUUUAGGUAGUUGACUUCUGGGUCAAAUUCUCCAUAUGCCCUUCUGGAAGUGGUGCUUCUGUAAAACAAUAUUGCACUUUAGUGGAUAUUUAAGUUAUUCUGAAGCUUAGCAGCAGCAUGGUGUGGCAUUAUUGUAUGCUUUAUUUUGAACCUUGAACACUUUCAGUACCUAAAACCACAUGGGAAGUGCGACGAUGGUACCUGCUGUGUGACCACUGGAUUUUCCUGUUGAAAUUCCCAUUCCUGGUUCCUAUGCAGGGCCGCUUCACCUCCACGCACAUGUAAGAAGUGAGAGCAAGGUCCAUUCUGAGCUGAACACCAGUGAGGCACCAUGCUUAAGUAAUCAUGAAAUCAGCGCAUCCUGAGGCCAGCUGUAACUUAGAAAGUACCAUAAUCAGAUGGAAGUAUCCUUAAGUUGAGCCAGUGAGUCUGUAGGGAGCAUUGCACUGCAACUUAAACGUCCGUAUGUGCAGCAAACCUGAACCCCUCUGUGAAAUGGGAGAGUGAAUGGUAGCAUUUAACUGCUCAUAAACCACGGACAUUAUUUUAUAGGAAAAUGUCCAGGUGGCAAACCUGCCCCUCUCUGAACACCCUGGCAGCUCCAUCACUGAAGCCAGUCCUUGAACCCCUUUUAUUCUAGGAAUUAUGACUGGAUAAACAUAUUUGUAUACAUCGUCUUCAGAAGUGCUGUCAGCAGGGGACUGCAGCAGCUCUCUGAGCUCAUCCAGAGACUGAUUGGAAUUCCCUGCUCAUAGCAUUUGCAGGUUCAAUAUCAUUAUUGUUAAUGGUCACUGUGUGUGUGGCUCCAGAUGAAAACAGCCACCACGUGUUGGAUUGCCCACAGCCAAGCCAUCCCAGCACCACGCUCUUGCUGUGCCAAGCUGAGUGUGAGGACAUGGCACACCGGCCCUGCCGUGUCAGUGGUGGGGAUGCACACUGCAAUGAAGUGUCAAGCUGCUUCCACAGGCUGCUUGGAGAGCACAGCUUCAUUUCUCACUAUGGAAACAGUACAGCCAAAGGAACAUGGCACAAAUUACACUAUCAUUGAAAGAAUUGGAUUGGAUCUUUCCAAAAUGGUGUUUUCCAUGUACUCACCCCAGGUCUGGUUUACCCCACCCCAGCAAGUUGGGAUGCAGUUGGUCCCACAGCGGGUGUUCCAGCCCCGGCAGCUGGAGGCUUGCUCAGACUGUCUGUGCUCCAUCCAACGGACUGGAACAGAAAGCCCUUCUGUGGUUCUGGGAAGUUCCGUCAUAGAAAACAAGGCUGAGCAAGGCUCUUGAGGAGUGACGCUAACAAGCAUGGCCCUUAAAGGCAAUUAAGAUAAAUUAGUUGCGUGAUAGCUUCAUGCUGCAGCCUUGAGCUCUGUAUGCCUUGGGAUAUAACAAAUGAAUUUCUCUCUGUUUAUUAAGUCUGUAAGCCAUCAGUAAAUACACAAUUGCAG